rnacentral:rRNA from 1 species
CCUACGGGUGGCAGCAGUGAGGAAUAUUGGUCAAUGGGCGCGAGCCUGAACCAGCCAAGUCGCGUGCGGGACGAAGGAUCUAUGGUUUGUAAACCUCUUUUAUACGGGAAUAAAGCCCGGGACGCGUCCCGGUCUGCAUGUACCUUACGAAUAAGGAUCGGCUAACUCCGUGCCAGCCGCCGCGGUAAUACGGAGGAUUCGAGCGUUAUCCGGAUUUAUUGGGUUUAAGGGGUUCGUAGGCGGCGUUUAAGUGAGCGGUGAAAAUCUGAGGCUCAACCAUGGAAUUGCCCUUGAUACUGGGGGGCUUGAGUGUGGUUGAGGCAGGCGGAAUGGGUGGUGUAGCGGUGAAAUGCAUAGAUAUCACGCAGAACACCGAUUGCGAAGGCAGCCUACCAAGCCAUGACUGACGCUGAGGCACGAAAGCGUGGGGAUCGAACAGGAUUAGAUACCCCGGUAGUC